rnacentral:rRNA from 1 species
AUGAAAAUAAUAAGCUGGAAUUGCCGAGGACUUGGGAAUGGCCCGGCGGUUCAAGGACUCCUCGAUAUGGGGAGACUGGAGGAUCCCGAUAUAUUGUUUUUGGCUAAAACUAAACUAACAGAAGGGGAGUUGGAGAGGUUCGUGUGGUCUCUUGGGUUGGCCAACAUGAUAGGUUGGGACCCAGUGGGCCGAGCAGAGGGAUUGCGAUGUUCUGGAGGAGGGGUGUGGACGUGA